AGAUUGAACAUAAGAGUUUGAUCCUGGCUCAGAUUGAACGCUGGCGGCAUGCUUUACACAUGCAAGUCGGACGGCAGCACAGGGAAGCUUGCUUCUCGGGUGGCGAGUGGCGAACGGGUGAGUAACAUAUCGGAACGUACCGGGUAGCGGGGGAUAACUGAUCGAAAGAUCAGCUAAUACCGCAUACGUCUUGAGAGGGAAAGCAGGGGACCUUCGGGCCUUGCGCUAUCCGAGCGGCCGAUAUCUGAUUAGCUGGUUGGCGGGGUAAAGGCCCACCAAGGCGACGAUCAGUAGCGGGUCUGAGAGGAUGAUCCGCCACACUGGGACUGAGACACGGCCCAGACUCCUACGGGAGGCAGCAGUGGGGAAUUUUGGACAAUGGGCGCAAGCCUGAUCCAGCCAUGCCGCGUGUCUGAAGAAGGCCUUCGGGUUGUAAAGGACUUUUGUCAGGGAAGAAAAGGCCGUUGCCAAUAUCGGCGGCCGAUGACGGUACCUGAAGAAUAAGCACCGGCUAACUACGUGCCAGCAGCCGCGGUAAUACGUAGGG
rnacentral:rRNA from 1 species